AACGCUGGCGGCAGGCUUAACACAUGCAAGUCGAGCGGGCGUAGCAAUACGUCAGCGGCAGACGGGUGAGUAACGCGUGGGAACAUACCUUUUGGUUCGGAACAACACAGGGAAACUUGUGCUAAUACCGGAUAAGCCCUUACGGGGAAAGAUUUAUCGCCGAAAGAUUGGCCCGCGUCUGAUUAGCUAGUUGGUGAGGUAAUGGCUCACCAAGGCGACGAUCAGUAGCUGGUCUGAGAGGAUGAUCAGCCACAUUGGGACUGAGACACGGCCCAAACUCCUACGGGAGGCAGCAGUGGGGAAUAUUGGACAAUGGGGGCAACCCUGAUCCAGCCAUGCCGCGUGAGUGAUGAAGGCCCUAGGGUUGUAAAGCUCUUUUGUGCGGGAAGAUAAUGACGGUACCGCAAGAAUAAGCCCCGGCUAACUUCGUGCCAGCAGCCGCGGUAAUACGAAGGGGGCUAGCGUUGCUCGGAAUCACUGGGCGUAAAGGGUGCGUAGGCGGGUCUUUAAGUCAGGGGUGAAAUCCUGGAGCUCAACUCCAGAACUGCCUUUGAUACUGAAGAUCUUGAGUUCGGGAGAGGUGAGUGGAACUGCGAGUGNAGAGGNGAAAUUCGUAGAUAUUCGCAAGAACACCAGUGGCGAAGGCGGCUCACUGGCCCGAUACUGACGCU
rnacentral:rRNA from 1 species